UACGUAGGGUGCAAGCGUUAAUCGGAAUUACUGGGCGUAAAGCGUGCGCAGGCGGUUCCGUAAGAUAGAUGUGAAAUCCCCGGGCUUAACCUGGGAAUUGCGUUGGAGACUGCAAGGCUAGAAUCUGGCAGAGGGGGGUAGAAUUCCACGUGUAGCAGUGAAAUGCGUAGAGAUGUGGAGGAACACCGAUGGCGAAGGCAGCCCCCUGGGUCAAGAUUGACGCUCAUGCACGAAAGCGUGGGGAGCAAACAGG
rnacentral:rRNA from 1 species